CCUACGGGUGGCAGCAGUGGGGAAUAUUGCGCAAUGGGCGAAAGCCUGACGCAGCGACGCCGCGUGAGGGAUGAAGGUCUUCGGAUCGUAAACCUCUGUCAGCAGGGAAGAACGGUCACUGUGCUAAUCAGCAGUGAAUUGACGGUACCUGCAAAGGAAGCACCGGCUAACUCCGUGCCAGCAGCCGCGGUAAUACGGAGGGUGCAAGCGUUAAUCGGAAUUACUGGGCGUAAAGCGCUCGUAGGCGGUAUGUAAAGUCAAGGGUGAAAUACCCGCGCUCAAAGUGGGAACUGGCUUUGAAUAUGGCAAACUGGGAUGUGUGAGGGGAUAGUGGAAUUCCAGGGGUAGGAGUGGA
rnacentral:rRNA from 1 species